AUGGAACAUGCGCAGUAUCAACUGACUGGCCCUACGAUGGGCCAAUGGGAAGAGGAAAGUGCUUCCGUUGGCCUGGUUAGCAGAGGAGGCAGGAAGACAAGGGCGCAGUAAUUCCGAGUUUCUAGUUGGGUGGGAAAUUUCUGGGUUCACCUCGGAGAAGGAGUAAGGCGGAUAAAUGCCUAAAUUAAACCGCCAGAAUCCACCCUGCAAUUCAAAAACUACAGACCAGCUGUCUCCAGAUAUGACUUAGGUGCAGUACUAAAGAGUUUGCAUGUAUUAUUUAAUCUUCACAGCCCAAGUUAAGGUACUAUGUCAUGAAGAAUUGUGCCAGAAAAUUAUAUUUUGAAGAUGGCCCUUUUCCUCUACUAUCAGUAAUAUCUGCAAGCACCAUUUGAGGUUUACUGGAAGCUAGCUGCUGUCAGUCCCUUCCCUGAGAAAUCUCCUGUUCCUUAUGGUUCCUAGCCUGAUGAAGUCACCACUGGGUUUCCAUCCAAGCCAGGCUCACCAUUGUUUUUUUGUGAAAAGGAAGGCUUGGACCAGGCUUGAGGGCUCAAAGGCUGGGUGUUGCUGUCUGCAGAUGGAAUCUUUGCUAGAGCUUUCAACCACAACACCUGCAUGUGGUUUUUCCACUUAUUAUGGGCUUUCUCAGAGUACAGUGUGGCUAUCUUCUGAGGGAGAGCAUCCUGAGAGUCAGCCAAAAGCUGUAUUGCCAUUUCUACACCAUCCUUGAAAGUCAUACAGCAUCACUUUAUAUACUCUCUAUUGGCUGGAAAGAAGUCUAAAGCUGGCCCAUAUUCAAGAAAAAGGGAACUACAUUCCAACUUUUGAUGGGAAAACUGUCAGAGAUUUUUUUAUAUGUUUUAAAACUACCACUUCCCAAAAAGAUGCAAGUAGAAAAGGAAUAGCAUAUGUUGUUUUGUAUUUAGAGAGGCUGAUACUCUUCAGUAACAGUCCCUCAUCUAGGUAUACAGCCAAAGAAAAUGAAAUUAGCACCUUGUAGAGACAUCUGCACUACCAUGUUCAUCGCAGCACUAUUCAUAGCCAAGAAAUUGAAACAACCUAAAUGUCUAUGACUGAAUAAAGAAAUUAUGAUUAUGUUAUACAGAAAAAAAUUAUUUAGCUUACAAAAAGAAGAUUCUACCAUUUGUGACAACAUAGCUGAAGUGGAAGGACACUAGGUGAAAUAAGCCAGACAAAGAAAAUUACUGCAUGAUCUCACUCCUUUCUCCUUUUUCAGUACUGGGGAUAGAACCCAGGGCCCCACACAUGCAGGGAAAGUGUUUUACCACUGAGCUACAUCCCCAGUCCUGCAUGACCUCUCAUAUAUGGAAUCAAAAAUAUCUCCAACAACUUGAAUACAUAGAGAAAAUAGACAAAUAGUUACUAGAGGAAAGAGGAAGGGUUUUGGGGAUAUGCAGGACAAUGUGUACAAAGUAACAGUUACAGUGGAUAAAACAUGUUAUAUAGUUACGUAGGACAUCUAAAGUCUAGCACAAGGACUAUGGCUAAUAUUGUACACUGUACUAGAAAUUUUCUGCCAGAUUUUAGGUACUCACACAGACACACAUGCACACACAUGCACACCACACAGCUGUGACUUAAUAUUUAUGUUAAAUUGCUUACCUAUAAUAAUAAUUUCACUACUUAUAUGUAUGUUAAGACAUAUUUGUAAAAUAAGACAAAAUUUUAAAGAAAUGAGUAAAAGAGUGAUUAAAGGGUCUACCCUCCCACACAAAAAAGUGAAAGGAUUCAAAAUCUGUAUUAGAUUCUGACAUGUCAGAGCUACGUGAAGAUGGAAUGUUAAUUGAUAUUUUGUAGUUCUAUAGACAGUUUUACAAGUAUUAUAUGUAUGUAGAGGUGCUAUUCAAUUACUAAUGAAGUAUUCUGCUUUAUACAAUUAUAAAAACAUGGUCUCUAAAUCUAAUGUAUUAUAGAAUCAAGUAUUUAAAUAACAGUUCUGUAGCACUCUUUCUCUACAUUGUGACAUCUAACAUUUGUUGUUUGCUUAUUUUUUCAUAAUUCAUAAAGGAUGGUGUUCCUAUUUGUUUUUAGAACUUUGUAUGGGUAAAAUGUUUAUGCCGUGCUCCUUUUGCCCCCUAGUGGUGUUUUAUGUCUUCGUUCCAUACCAUAUUUACAUACAAUUUCCAAACCUUUAGGAAUGAAAGCAGGAAGAGCAUAAUUUCACCCCUGCCACAUACACUUCAUUUUACAGAUGGGGAACAUAAGAUCUAGAAAAUUUGCAGGCCUUGUUUGAUGUCACACGUUUAGCUAGAACGAAAAGUUAUGUGUUACUCUUCCCUCACACCUUAUUAGAUAUAAGGCCCAGAGAGACAGGGCAGUCUUGUUUAUUGAAGAACAGAAGAGUGCCUAGCAAGUAGUAGGUGUUCAGAAAAUAUUUGCUUCCAAGUUUUAGCUAUUGUAUGCUGCUGUGAAAAUAGAUAUGCAAAUUUAUUUGUAACCUUGAUUUGAAUUCUUUCAUACAUAUAACCAGAAGUGCUGGAUCAUAUGGUAAUUCUAUUUUUAAUUUAUUGAGAAAGUGCCAUUUUGUUUUCCAUAGCAGCUACACCAUUUUACAUCACCAACAAUAGUGUACAAAGGUUCUUAUUUCUUCGCAUCCUGGCUCAUGCUUGUUUUUUGUUUUGUUUUGUUUUUGUUUUUUUGGUUUUUAUUUUUAUGGCAGUCUUCUUGAUGGGGGUGAGGUGAUCUCUCAUUGUGGUUUUGAUUAGCAUUUCCUUAAAGAUUGGUGAUGUGGAGAACUUCUUCAUAUGCUUCUUGACCUUUUGUAUCUUCUUUGGAGAAAUUUUUUGUCAAGUUCUUUGCUGUAAAAAGACAUGUUUAUCUAUUGCUUUCUUUUAGCAGUAUGAUAAAAGCCAUUGCCUUUUGUUUGCUAUAUUGUUUAUCUGAG
rnacentral:lncRNA from 1 species